ACCUUCGGGCCUCUCGCGUCAGGAUAUGCCUAGGUGGGAUUAGCUAGUUGGUGAGGUAAUGGCUCACCAAGGCGACGAUCCCUAGCUGGUCUGAGAGGAUGAUCAGCCACACUGGAACUGAGACACGGUCCAGACUCCUACGGGAGGCAGCAGUGGGGAAUAUUGCACAAUGGGCGCAAGCCUGAUGCAGCCAUGCCGCGUGUGUGAAGAAGGCCUUCGGGUUGUAAAGCACUUUCAGUCGUGAGGAAGGUAGUGUAGUUAAUAGCUGCAUUAUUUGACGUUAGCGACAGAAGAAGCACCGGCUAACUCCGUGCCAGCAGCCGCGGUAAUACGGAGGGUGCGAGCGUUAAUCGGAAUUACUGGGCGUAAAGCGCAUGCAGGUGGUUUGUUAAGUCAGAUGUGAAAGCCCGGGGCUCAACCUCGGAAUUGCAUUUGAAACUGGCAGACUAGAGUACUGUAGAGGGGGGUAGAAUUUCAGGUGUAGCGGUGAAAUGCGUAGAGAUCUGAAGGAAUACCGGUGGCGAAGGCGGCCCCCUGGACAGAUACUGACACUCAGAUGCGAAAGCGUGGGGAGCAAACAGGAUUAGAUACCCUGGUAGUCCACGCCGUAAACGAUGUCUACUUGGAGGUUGUGGCCUUGAGCCGUGGCUUUCGGAGCUAACGCGUUAAGUAGACCGCCUGGGGAGUACGGUCGCAAGAUUAAAACUCAAAUGAAUUGACGGGGGCCCGCACAAGCGGUGGAGCAUGUGGUUUAAUUCGAUGCAACGCGAAGAACCUUACCUACUCUUGACAUCCAGAGAACUUUCCAGAGAUGGAUUGGUGCCUUCGGGAACUCUGAGA
rnacentral:rRNA from 1 species